GACGAACGCUGGCGGCGUGCUUAACACAUGCAAGUCGAACGGAAAGGCCCUGCUUUUGUGGGGUGCUCGAGUGGCGAACGGGUGAGUAACACGUGAGUAACCUGCCCUUGACUUUGGGAUAACUUCAGGAAACUGGGGCUAAUACCGGAUAGGAGCUCCUGCUGCAUGGUGGGGGUUGGAAAGUUUCGGCGGUUGGGGAUGGACUCGCGGCUUAUCAGCUUGUUGGUGGGGUAGUGGCUUACCAAGGCUUUGACGGGUAGCCGGCCUGAGAGGGUGACCGGCCACAUUGGGGCUGAGAUACGGCCCAGACCCCUACGGGGGGCAGGGGGGGGGAAUAUUGCACAAUGGGCGGAAGCCUGAUGCAGCAACGCCGCGUGCGGGAGGACGGCCUUCGGGUUGUAAACCGCUUUCGCCUGUGACGAAGCGUGAGGGACGGUAAUGGGUAAAGAAGCACCGGCUAACUACGG
rnacentral:rRNA from 1 species